UACGGAGGGUGCAAGCGUUGUUCGGAAUUACUGGGCGUAAAGCGCGUGUAGGCGGUUUCCUUAGUCUGGUGUGAAAUCCCGGGGCUUAACCCCGGAAGUGCAUUGGAUACUGGGAGACUGGAGUACCGGAGAGGAAGGUGGAAUUCCUGGUGUAGCGGUGAAAUGCGUAGAUAUCAGGAGGAACACCGGUGGCGAAGGCGGCCUUCUGGACGGAUACUGACGCUGAGACGCGAAAGCGUGGGGAGCAAACAGG
rnacentral:rRNA from 1 species